AUAUUAUGCAUAAAUAUAUCAAAUCUGUUCCUCAUAAUGAAUUUUUCGGACUCUGAAUUUGAGAUUAUGUUUGUGGGUGAAUUCUGGUAGCAUGAUCUUUUUAGUAGGUGAGUCCAUACUCUAUUUUUUAAAUCACUGGUUUCGAUUUACUGAAUCAUAUAUUGUUGGUCAUUCUUGAAAGAUUCAAUUAUCUAAGUUGCAUUUGUGGGUGUCAUGACCCAGGAGGAAUUAGAGGGGCAAUGCUGCCAUUAGUUACAAUUGUUGGUUAGGAGAUGCUAUUCAUUCUAUUAUAGUGCACAUGGGUGCUGUUCUACAAUAUUCUAUUACUUGAACAGCCUAUAAAUAGGCCAUAGCAUGUAGAGAAAUGUAUGCUGAAACAAUAUAGUGAAUUCAUAUUUUCCCUCCAUAUUUUCUCCCUCUCAUUCUUCCUAGUUCUCUCUCAUUUCUCUUGAUUUCUGCUCUAUCUCCCUCUAAUUCUCCUCCCUUUCCCUCCCAAAUCCUUCCUAGACCCUAGCUAAACCUUAGGGUCGUGACAUUUGGUAUCAGAGCUAACGAUUCUUGGCUGAGAUUCCGACGAAACUGGUAGUUCGAUCACUAUAAGUUGGUCACUGGAAGCACAUUCUGACAAACCAGGCGAUUUCCAGUGCUUGGGAAGCCACAACAGAGGUGAUCAAGGUCGACACAGGACCGAUUGAAUCCUAGCAAGAGGAGGUCAUUCCUCUGCUAUUAGUCGAAAUAACGCAUGCAGCGUUUGAUCUUAAUCUGAGCGGAACCAAGAUGAUUCCAAAUUUCAGGCGAUAGAUUACGGCACUGACCGAGUGCAGUAGGCGUUUCCGGAAGUGGUGGUAGAAUUGAUCGAACAACUGAGUCGAUCAAUUAUAGAAGGUGGAGGUUCAGGUAGAGCGGACGGAAUUCAGGCGCAUUCAGUCCAAUGAUUCCGACGAAGGAGUGGCUUCUGAUUUGAGAAAUCCAGGAAGUAUUGUUCGAUCAAGGAAGGCGUAGCAGUUAGCCAAGGCGCUUCAGUGCCAACGAUUUUUGGCAAAUUGUAGGAGAGGCCAAUUCUGUAAUCCGAUUCGACUUGAGUUUUGAAGGUGAAGUUGGCGAUGAUUGGGUGAGAAGGAAGACGCGAUUUAGGAAGUGGAGUAGAGGCGAAUUCAGAUCUGAUGGUCCUCAGCAGAUCAAUGAGGGUCGAAAUUGCAGGCAACGCGAGGCGAGCGACUCUCGAAACCCGUCUGGGUCACUGUAUGUGACCGAGGUGGGAAGGAAGGCGCGAUUGAAAACGGUUCAGAAGUUAAUUCCGCAAGCAACGAUUCUCAAUUGCCUUGAUUUCGUUUGUGAUUCUCAACUCAGAUUUGGAAGUUGAGCGAGAGGUCUGGGCAAGCGUGGAACUGAGAUUCCAGGCGUAAGGAAGGCUGUCAAUUACGGAUCAAUUGCUAGGAGCGAAACAAGGUUAGGCAAUUCAGGCAAUCCAGAAGCUAAAGGCGAAGCAGGUGGUAGCCUCGUGGCUGGAAACUCGGCUGUGGAAAUGGAUAGCAACAAUUCGAUUGUGAUUCCAGCAGCUUCUUGCGCUGAGACUCGGAAUUGUUGAAGGUGCAAUCAAUCAGCUGCACCUCGGUUGCUGCUUGGGAGUAAAGCAAAUCAGAAUAGGGCUGAUCGAGGCCGAUUUGUGAGGUUCCAGUGACGGAAUGCUGGUGAAGUUGGAAGCGGUGAGUAGGCAAACUUGAAGGCCAAACAAAUUCGAUCCUCGAUUGCUAAAGUGAGGUUGAGGCGAGAAGGAAGCUUCGGUCGGAAGUGGAUAUUGAGUAAUCGCUGCGCAUUGGAGUGCGAUUUAAUCCGGAGAAAUUCUCAGCUGACUUGAUGGAAUUAAUCGAGCAGUUCCUUGGCCGCUGACUCUUGUUUGAGUUAAUCAAGUAGAUCCAAAUCCAGAUCUCAGUGGAUUUCGUUUGAGGCAGAAUUAGGUUAGCUGAACUUGAAGCUGCUAUGGUUGCGGAUUUGGAAGCGAUCGAUUAACAGUAGGUCUUGGCGAUUUAUCAAAGCUAUUUCAAUGACUGAAUUCCGAUGAAUUUGGAGGCCCAACAGAUUGAAUCAAGCUUCGGGAGUAAUUGCGUAGCAGAAGUUGUGGUUUUAGAGUGCGUAGCGGAAGUGUGGGUUUCAAAAGUUGCGGAUAGAUUUCCAAAGCUGAUCAGAACAGGUUAUGUUCUGAAAUUAUCCAGAACCAGCAGAUUGUUUGAAGGGUAAUUGAUUUGGAGGCCAUCAUCAGCAACUAAAGACUGAUUUGGACCUAGCCUUGUGUGAAUCUAGGGUUGCUGAAUUUGAGUACUGGAAUAAGUUUCCGAAGUGGUCAUUGGAAGCUGAUCAGCAGGCUGUUGUAGUGGUGAAUUUUUAAGGAAUUCAACUGAGGAGAUGGCCGAAGGACUAUGUGCUGCAACUGCUGCAACAAGAAAAGAAAUCAAGGACCUUAGUAGACAGUUGAAUGAUUUUUUGAUCCUAUUUUCAUACAAAUUCUAGGUUAGUAUUCCAGCUGAAUGUUUUUCAAAAGAAUAUUCUGCCUACCUAAGUCAAAUUGGAGAUGAGAGUUGCAACGAAAAGUAUGCGCUACAGCCCAAAUGUUAUAAUAAAAGCAGCCGACAGAUUGGAGGAAUUCCUAAGGCUGAUGUGUCCCUAAGAUUAGGAAUGGAUGAUACAGAGGAGGAAAACUUGAGGCGAAGAGUUGGAGAAACUCACUCCACACCCCCAGGCUUGCGGAUGGACAUUCCUGCAUUUGAAAGAGAUAGGCCUAAAUGGUGGAUUAGGCAGUGUGAACGAGCGUUCUACCAAUACCGAGUAGCUGAAGGGGAGAAAGUGAAAAGGGCUGUAGCUUAUUUGGAUGGUGUUGCAGACGCUUGGUUCCAGAAUUGGAGUUGGGGAAAGGUAGAAUGGAGUUGGCCAUAGUUUGUAAAUGCCUUGUGUACUCAGUUUGGAGAAAGGCCCAAAACUAAUGUUGUCAUAGGAGUUCCUAAGGCUGCUCAUCAAGAAGUGCAGGGAGUUGAUAUAGUAGCCAUGGAAGAGGAAGGUGGUGUUCAUACAACUAAGGAGGAGUAUGAGGCUGAUGAGGUACUAAGAACGAGAAUGGUAGCUGCAAGGAAGGAGGACAACCCUGCUGAUCUUAUUGAUCUCCAGAAGCAACAGAGGAAGGAGCUUGAAAAGUCUCUUUACCAAGUACUUGAGGAGAAGGAGGACAGGAUUGCACCGGGCACCUUGUUUGGAACAUCUCAUACGUAUGUCUUUGGCACGGACACACAAAACAGGACAAUAGCUGCAAAAAAGGUUGAUUUGCUUAAAGAGAAGUUUAAAUUUCUUCUUAUGCUAGGAAAUGAGAUGGUUACCGGAUUGACAGCUCCAUUGGAGCCAUUUUCAAUUGCAAUAAGGAAGAGGUGGAUGGUUGGACUUGGGCUUGCCGCUAGUCGUAGUUCGGUUAAGAAAGAAGGAAAGAGAAAGCAAAAGAAAAGGGUAAUGCGAGAGGAGAACAAGAAAAGGCGAAGAAGAAACCAGUUGGUAAAUAUGGGCAUCAGAUGAAUAACAACGGUUCAAUGGUAAUAAGUUUCUUGGGGAUAAGAAACCUUUCAAGGAGGGGAAAUUGUCUUGACCCAGGAGGAAUUAGAGGGGCAAUGCUGCCAUUAGUUACAAUUGUUGGUUAGGAGAUGCUAUUCAUUCUGUUAUAGUGCACAUGGGUGCUGUUCUACAAUAUUCUAUUACUUGAACAGCCUAUAAAUAGGCCAUAACAUGUAGAGAAAUGUAUGUUGAAACAAUAUAGUGAAUUCAUAUUUUCCCUCCAUAUUUUCUCCCUCUCAUUCUUCCUAGUUCUCUCUCAUUUCUCUUGAUUUCUGCUCUAUAUCUCCCUCUAAUUCUCCUCCAUUUCCCUCCCAAAUCCUUCCUAAUUCCUUCCUAGACCCUAGCUAAACCUUAGGGUCGUGACAGUGGGUUAUUGUUAUGUUUCUAGCAUGAGUUGCAAUUGAUGGCCAAAUAUACUAAGGUCUUGAUAAUCCCUUGGUUUCACUAACUUAAUAUUUGAAAUUGAAGCUAAUUUAAAAAUCUAAUCAUUUAUAGCUUCUUAUUAGAACUGUAGAUAAUUAAGAAUGUUUGAAUUCUUUACUCUUGAGAAUAAUGAGUAUUUUUUUCUAUAAGUGGGAAUAAUAUGAUUAGGAAUCUUGCAAAGGUGAAUUCAUUUGUAUUUAUAUGCUAUCUAGGAAUUGAACUAGGCUCUGAUUGAGAAGCUGAAGAUGGAUCUAGGGGCUAUGCAAUUUGUUUUGUUAGUGAUCUAGUCAAUGUGGUUGUUAAACUUGUACUCUUUCUUGUUGGUUCAUCCCAUUCUCCUAGAUUUUGAUGAGAUUAAAACUAACACACAUAAAAAUCUGAUCUUUUUUACUUGUAGAGUUGUAAUUAAAUCAUCUUGAGCAAUAUGAACUUUUCUACUGUUUUAAUAUUUUACAUGCCAAUGCCAUAAUAAGACAUAGAAAGAAAAGGCAUAUACAACCAUAGUAUUAAUUGAUUUUCCACUGUCUUCACAUGGCAUAUAUAGUUAUCAAGUAUUCAAAACAUUGCAGAAAAUGUCUCAAUAGAAUAGAUAGAAAAUGUAGUAUGCCAAUUGUAUUAAAGAACAUAUGAAAUCAAUGGAAGAGUACUAGAAUACAAUCAACUAACCAACAAAUAAUAGUAUCAUCAACUAUUUGGGUAUGGGCAUUGCCCCAUCUCCACACGGACGAAGAGUACUAGAAUACGAAUGAAAAGACACUCUAUCGCCACAUUUAUGUUGACAUAUUUCUUCAGCUCCCCUCUCAAAAUCAUCCCUUAAAUAGUAUCGAUAGACUUUCUCCUUUGUAGCAACAAGCAAAGACUCCCCAUUGACUACCUUGAAGCCAGCUACAUCAUAGGACUUGAUGAUUCCUAUGUCUUGCGUACAAAUUUUCAAUACUUUAGUCCAUGAACUUGAACUAUGAUCGCUUAAUGUCCAUAUGGUGAAAUUUCCUUCUGCUAGUUGAACCAAACAAAUAGAUUCUCCUUUUCCCCACUCGAAUAUACACAUUUGACAAUUUCGAUCAUCCAAACCUCCUCUUGCAUCUUCUGGUAUUUGUAUAAAUUUUUGGGUGCCCUUCUUGAAAUCAUAUGCUAAUAUAUACGGCCAAUAGAAAGGGCUAUCUAGAUCAAAAGAAGGAGAAAAACAAUUCAAUAAUAAGUGAACAUUACCAUUAUAGCAGACAGCAGAUUGAGAGUAUAAUCUUCUAGGACCAAGACAUAUUUCACCAAUCUCUUCCCAAUUCGCUGUUGCUUGUAGUAAGUAGACUUUGCAUGUUGCAUUUGCUGACCAUUCUUCUGGCCUCUUUAUCAUCAUCAAUAGAAAAUCACAUGGAAACUCAGAUGGUUCCUUAAUGCUACAUUGGAAGACUAGGUUGAAGUAUAGGUCGAAAUUUAUUAAACUCAUGGGGACUUUAAUUCGUUUCCAACUUUGUGUUGUUGGGUUGCAAAUAAUCAGUUCAUUUCUCUUUUUAUACCUGCAACAUAGCAACCCAUUGCUUGAAGCUAGCACCCGAGUGGUAGACUUUAAGAAUUUGAUAGAUUGAUUAGGCAACCCAGUUGAUGCUUCUUCACCAGGGUUCGCAUGAAAUUCCAAUUUGUGAUAGCCUCUAGGGGACCAUCUUGGUUGAAUGAAAAAGGCUGAGUCAUUUUUCAACCCCAUGUGUAUGUAUUGUUGCUUGACAAAUAACAUGUCUGAGGGAAAUUCAUUGCAUGCUUUGCAGGUUAACAUGAAUCUGAAAAUGGAUUUUGCAGGUAGCCAGGAGAAUAUUUUAAAAAUUUCAAGAUUUGCAUCAAACUCCUGCAAUUCAAAGUAAAAUUUAAUUAUUAUCCAAGACAUAAAAUAUUGUAAUACAUUUAAACAUAAAUUUAAAAGGCCUAAAGUGUUUACAGCAUAUACUUAAGAAUCCUAGCCAAUUUUGGUCUCUUCCAUUUUGUUGGAAAAGAGGUCUAUUAAUAAAAGAAAGAGUAGAUUGCACUCAAACUCCUGUGCUUUGGUGUCAUACUUCUUGUAGUAUCUUGAGUUUGAAGAAGUUAAAAAUUUUGUAAUGUGGAGACUCAUCUUGAUAUGUGAUUUUGGCUUUUUCUAAGUGUUUCGAGCCCCACUCUAUAUUUGCAUAAAUAUAAAUACCAUUUGAUGACAACAAAGAAACAAAUAUCAAUCUUAAAUUGUAAAUAUAAAAUAUUUAAAGAGUAAGACUAAAUAUACAUACUUACCAAUUGUUGUUGACAAUUUUGUUUCUUUCGACUGUUUGAGCCAUGAUGAUCUUUUUGAGUACCCUCUUCCAGCUUUCUCUCAUCCAUCAUAUCAAUGGAGCUUUCUGCCUAUCAACAAUGGAUAUGUUAAUUUGAAGGAUCUCAUUGCCAAUGUAUAAAUGUUUGGCUAGAAAUUCCAUCCCAUUCUUGAUUGGUUUAUGCUUUAAAAGAUAUUCUUAAUUAGUUUAGAUGUCGUUCUAUCAUGGAAUACCAAUUUCAGAAUGAAACAAUUGUGGGUAAUAUAUUACGCAUAUCCACGGGCCAUGUAAGGGAAUUUUUAAUUGAUUGACAUAUAUUUUGAAAAAUUAAUUAAUUAUUUACACUGAAAAUUUACUUAGAUAUUUAAUUUAUCAAUAAAAUUAGAGUUUUAACAGAAAAUAAUAUAGACAUAGUAGGAAUUUAAAAAGUGAACAUUUUUGGAUAAAUUAACUAAAAUAAAAUUUCAUUUUUUUACCAUACUUUUAAUGAAAAAUCUAGCAAAUACUAUCACAUAAUUUGAAAUAAACAUAACAUACUAAUAUGAUAAUUAGUUAUAAUUAUAAACACAAAUAUUUGUCAUAAUAACAAAACGAUUAUAAUUUAUCAAUAAAAUUGAUGAUCACAAAUAUUUUCUUUUGCAGUUCUUGUAUUAAAACGUCCAAUACAUCCCCGUCCCCCAAAAUCAUUCAAAUAAACGUAAUAUACCUAGGUGACGACAGUCCAAAAAAAUGAAUAAAUGAUUUUAUACUUUUGUAACUAUUUGUAUUUGUAAUUAGGAAACAGUGAUAACUUCUAAAAUUCAAAUUAGAAGAAUUUUUUGGACUAAUUGUAAAAUUUUGGGUGUAAAUAAAAAAUUAGGAAAUUUUUUUUUGAAGAUAAGGGAAGGGAUUAUAACUAUUCGAUAGUCAUAAAUAAAAAAGCUGUAAUUUUUUUAAUCAUCAAAAACAGAAAAAUUAUAAUAUAGGAUUAGCACACAUUAUUGAUUUAAGAGGUAUAAGAAUUGAAAAAAUUGUAACCAAACCAUUGUUCUAAGUGCCAAUGACCAUUUUCUUUGUAUUCUCAUACUGUAUUUUUUCAUUCUCAUACUCUAUAAACAGGUGCCUUACUCUAUUCUAUUGAUUUUAUUGUUUUUAAAAAUAAAAUCUAUUCUACACCCAACACAAUUAGAUUGUUAAUUUUGUAGGUGCAUCCAUUGCAACUUGAAUUUAAAUUUUCAAUUAAAAUAGGAAACCUUAAAACAUUUUGACAGACUCCUUUUCUCAGAUUUGUCAUGAGGGAAAAAAAUAGCUUUUCUUGUAUAUUAAAACACGAAAAUAGAAAUCAGAACUGAAGGGCAUUAAGUAAAUCACUGAAAGUAUGUAUGAAAGUACCAAUGAAUUAAUCGUAGGUCCUCAACUUGUUUCUUGGCAAUCUUCUUGCAAAACAGGGUCGUCAGGACUGGUCGGGCCUGCUUAGAUUGGCUUUCUGACGCUCAAGUUGAUCUGAUUUGGAAUUGAAACCAAAAACUAGGACAGAUGCGUGAUAUCCAGUGAUUGUUCGACAGUAUAUAAGAAUGAACAAUAGUAGAGAGUGUUUUCUGGAUAUUACCUUCAAAGGGAGAAGAGCCCCCCCCCCUCCUUUUAUGGAUGUUAAUUUGCUCGGGUCUUGUGCCGCCCAUGUGUUUGAGUGUACAUGGCAAGUGCGGAUAUGGUGGAUCAAGGAUGGAGAGUGAGGAUACAAUGCAAUUGUGUGUGGUAGGUUUGGAUUUGGCAAGUCUGUGUAUGGUAGGUAUGGAUAUGGCAAGUUUGCAUGUGGUAGCUUUGAAUAUGGCUAGAAGUAUUGAAUGUGCUAAAUCGCCACACGAUAUGUUUACGCGUGAUAUGCACGCAAUGAACAAAGAGAGCUUACUUAGUUGAGUACCACUAGGCCACGUGGGUGGAUCUCCUUAAUUUUGAGUUGCAUUAUGCCUGGUAUUCUAAAGACUAUCGCAAAUUGGAAUUUCUUGUAAAUUCUGGUGAAGAAGCAUUAUUAAGUUGCUUAAUCAGUCUCUCAAAUUCUUAAAAUCUACCACUCGGAUACUAGCCUCAAGCAAUGGGCUAUUAUGUUGCAGGAAUACAAUGAGAAAUGAAAUUAUUUGCUUUUUAACAACUCAAAGCUUGAAACCUAUUAAAGUCCUUGUGAGUUUAAGAAAUUUUGACCUAUGCUUCAACUUAGCUUUCCAAUGUAAAAUUGAGAAUGGUCAGAGAAUGCAACCUGCAAAGUUUACUUAUUCGAAGUAGCAAAGAAUUGGGAAGAAAUUAGGGAAAUAUGUAUUAGUUCUAGAAGACGUACUCUUAAUCUACUGUAUGCCAUAAUGGUAGCGUUCACUUGUUAUUGAAUUGCUUUUGUCUUUCUAUUGAAAAGAGUAAGCUUUUCUAUUGAUUCGAAUAUAUUGUCAUAUGAUUUCAAGAAGGGUACACAAAGAUUUAUAUAAAUACGAGAAGGUGUAAGAGGAGGUCUAGAUGAUCUAACUUGUUAGAUGUGUAUAUUCAAGUGGGGAAAAAGAAAAUCUAUUUGUUUGGUUCCACUAGUGGAAGGUGUUUUCAUUAUAUGGACAUAAAGCGAUUAUAGUUCAAGCUCUUGGACUAGAGUAUUGGAAAUUUGAACAUAAGACAUAGCUAUCAUUGAGUCCUAUGAUUUAGCCAGCUUCAAGGUAGUCAAUUGGGAGUAUUUGCUUGUUGCUACAACAAAGAAAAUCUCUCAAUACUAUUUAAGGGGUGAUUUUAAGAGGAAAGCUAAAGAAAUAUGCCAACAUAAAUGUGGUAAUAAAGUGUUUUUUUAUUCGUUUGCUAGUACUUUUCGUCUAUGUGGGAAUGGAACAAUACUCAUAACCAAAUAAUUGUUAUUCUUAUUAUUUGUUUGUUGGUUGUUUUUGUUUCAAAAUUGACUAUAUAAACUCUUCUAUUCAAAUGUUUCAUAUGUUCCUCACUCACAAUGAAUGCAAUACAGUUGGCACUGCAUGAUUUUCUAUUUGUUUUGUUGAGACAAAAGUGGAAACAUAUAUUUAAAGUUUCCUAAGAAAAUACUUAAUAGCUUCUGUAAUAUUUUGAAUGCUUUAUGUUAACUACAUGUGCUAUGUGAAGAUGGCGCAAAAUCUAUUAAUACCACCACAUGGUAUGCACCUUUUCUUUCUCUAUGUUGUGGCAUUCGCAUACAAAAUAUUAGAAAACUUGUAUGCGAACUGAAUUUAUAAUACCAAAGAUGAUUUUAUUCAUUACUCUAUAUGUUUGUGACUGUGUGGUUAUUUUGAUUGAGGAUAGAGUUGAUCUUGUUGAUAAAAUUGAAUUGUUAUUAGAUGAAGUUAAAAGAUAUCAACCAUAAUGGCUAGUAUGUUUUCAAAUUUGAAAGUACAAUUGCUUAUUUGACAUUUUUUAAAAGUACAAUUGCUUUUUUGAAUGUAUAGGUGCUUAUUUGACCUUUCUUAAGGGACAGUGACCAAAUUAACCUUGAGGCCAAACUAUGGCUUAUUUGGCACUGCAUCCAAAAUUUUGAAAAGACAACAAAAACAAAAGGCUCCAACAAGAGAGAGAUAGAAAGAUGGGGAUAUGUUAGCCAUUCUAAAAAAUUUAACAAGGUUAAGUGUUAAGAAUUUUUAAAAUUGAGUGAAAUUAUUUUUAUUUUCAGAACCUCAAAAGAUAUUGUCUGCUUUUCUUCUCUACUGAAAAGUUUGAGUGAAUUCUUCCCUUGAAAUAAGCUCUUUUGUAUAAACAUUUUAAUAAGGGUAAAUUGCAUAAACAUGUCAUGUGAUUUGACUUAUAUGUGUAGACACACUCUAUACUUUAGGCCAUCUAUUUGAAGCCAAAAUGACAUAGUUUUGGGAUGCCAACAUUAAUUAAGUUUUAUUAAAGUUAAAAAAAAAUAAAAAUUGUUGCCACCUUGAAUCUAUUGGAAAACCCACUGGUGGGUUCUCUAAACCCAUCAUUGGUGGGUCAGGGGAACCAAAGUGAAGAGAGAGAGAAGAAGAAAAAGAAGAAGAAACCGAUCUCCUUGCCAUCAUUGUUGUUGAGAUCCCCUGGCUAAGGGCAGUCAUGCUAACGACAGUCGAGAGUGGAGUGGAGGCCAGCGUUGGUGGCUGCCCAGGACCCCUUCCCUUAUUGCACUGCCACUGUCAACUCCAACUCUUACACUACUUCUACUUACAAACCCAGAACCUCAGCCGCCCUCUCUCUCUCUCUCUCUCCCCCUCUCCGUCCUUUUCCUCUCCCUUUCCUUUACCAAUCCGAUUUCUGCCACUUCCACUUUUCCUUCAGUUUCCUUCCUCUUCUCUUCCUCUGGCAGUGAUGAUUUUGACUGGGAAUGCGUCGACAGAAGCGAAUUCGGAUGGCUUCGUUGCUCUUUCUGUGAUGAUUUUUUUUUUGGCACUGUUCCUUCGGUGGACAAAGUUCAAACCGCAGCCGUUGCUCUUCAGCAGAAUUUUUGGGCUUUCUUCUUGGAGUCAUAUGCCAGUAUAUAUGACCAGCAGAAAGGGCUAUCGCUUGAUAUACAAGGAAGCCAAUCUGAUAUGAGGUGAUACUUAUCAUUAUGGUAAACAGCAGACUGGAAGUCGAAGUAUCUAGCACCAAGAUCUAUCUUUCCAAUCUCUUGCCAAAUCCUUGCUUGGGUGGAAGAUGAAGGUGAAGUGCCUCUCCAAAUGUCUUAGAUUUUCUGGGAGUUAAAUAGGCAGCCAGGAGAGUAUUUCGAAAAUUUCUCCGUUGAACCCCAUUCUAGUCUUCAAGAUGGAAGCAAAAUGUAGUUGACAAGCCUGAAACUGCAACACAAAUGUGACUGAGAAGAUAGAUUUAUGUUGUCUUUUGGUUUUCUAAUCAAAGUGUUCCUGACUACUGAAUGCAAAUAGAGAUGGCAACAAGAAAUGGUCAAUGUUAAUUAAAAUUGUAAAUAUUGAAGUAUCUAAGAAGAAAUCAAAUAUAUGCUGACCUGUUGUUGUUGUUGUC